rnacentral:rRNA from 1 species
UAGGGAAUCUUCGGCAAUGGACGGAAGUCUGACCGAGCAACGCCGCGUGAGUGAAGAAGGUUUUCGGAUCGUAAAGCUCUGUUGUAAGAGAAGAACGAGUGUGAGAGUGGAAAGUUCACACUGUGACGGUAUCUUACCAGAAAGGGACGGCUAACUACGUGCCAGCAGCCGCGGUAAUACGUAGGUCCCGAGCGUUGUCCGGAUUUAUUGGGCGUAAAGCGAGCGCAGGCGGUUAGAUAAGUCUGAAGUUAAAGGCUGUGGCUUAACCAUAGUACGCUUUGGAAACUGUUUAACUUGAGUGCAAGAGGGGAGAGUGGAAUUCCAUGUGUAGCGGUGAAAUGCGUAGAUAUAUGGAGGAACACCGGUGGCGAAAGCGGCUCUCUGGCUUGUAACUGACGCUGAGGCUCGAAAGCGUGGGGAGCAAACAGGAUUAGAUACCCUGGUAGUCCACGCCGUANCGAUGAGUGCUAGGUGUUAGACCCUUUCUGGGGUUUAGUGCCGCAGCUAACGCAUUAAGCACUCCGCCUGGGGAGUACGACCGCAAGGUU